ensembl:misc_RNA 7SK 7SK RNA
GGAUGUGAGGGUGAUCUGACUGUGACAUCUGUCACACCACUGAUCACCAGGGUUGAUCUGGCUGGCUAGACGGGUGUCCCCUUCCUCCCUCACUGCUCCAUGUGCGUCCCUCCCAAAGCUGAGCACUCGGUCAAAGAGGACUACCAUCCCUGAUAGAGGAGGACCAUUCUUCUCAGUCAAGGGUAUACGAGUAGCUGUGCUCCCCUGCUAGAACCUCCAUAUAAGCUCUCAAAAAUGGGAAGAAUAUCUGAAUACACAUUUUUCCAAAGAAGACAUACAGACAGACAACAGGUACAGAAAAAUAU